rnacentral:lncRNA from 1 species
AGAUGGGGACCUGGUUCCACUGAUAUGCGAGCUCCCUGCAGGCUGGCAGAGGAGGGUGCUGAGACGAGGCACCACAUGCAUGGACAUACACGUGGCCCUGGAGCAGCCUAUACAGCAGCUCCAGCAGAGCACUUGUGGGUUUUUUGGCAGAGAAUUUGAUAUUUUUUAUCAGGGAAAACCAGGAUCUAUGCUUAUGAGGCCUUUCCAGUUCUACUCUUCUAUGAAUCUAUGACACAUUAAUUUCUUAGGAUGAUGUCUGAUGAAGGCAAUUGGUCAUCAGGUUACCUGGUGAAAAAUGUCUUGCAUUCAAAAGUUUGUCUAACUCUAUCCCAACUAUGCAGUUGGUCCAAUAAAAG